GCUCCUGUGCUCGGGCCCUGACAGCGCCCGGCAAGUGCCAGGCGGGCAGCCGGCCGGCCUGCAGCUCCCGCUGGGGAGCCGAGCGGGCGGGAGAUGCCCCCCUAAAGCGGUUCACUCCGCCGCCGCCACCCUGCCCGGCUUUAAUGUCAACAUUAGAAACGCCCUUAACAUGCGUGUCACGUAUCCGUGGCCAUCCGCCCGCUGGCGCCUGGCGCUGCCGGGCUGCUGCGAGCCGCUGUCACCGCAGCGCUGCGUUGGCUCACGGAUGGGUUUGCGCUCUGUUUUGGUGUUUGCUCAGGGUAGAUUCCUGGAGCAGGUUUAGGGCUGCGGGGCUCGGCUUUGGCACUCGGCUGGAAUGCCCGGAAGAAAAGGCUGCCCUGAGUGCUGGUCGAACAGCUCUCUGACAGAACAGGUUCGCGUAGGCAAAUACAUAAAUAGUGAGCCUUGGCUGCACGUCACUGCUCCCGCCUGCUUCAGGAGUUCACCUUGCACGGCCGGGGCACUCAGUAAUUUUAUGAAAAUGAGAGCAAUGCGGUGCAGGCGAUGUUAAUAGGAAUAUGCUUCAUAUUCAUGCAUGCCUAGGCUUGGCAUCACCAUCCUGAUUCUUGAAAUCAGAAAAAUGUACAUACGGAGGGUGCACAAGUGCAUCUUUCUCACAUCCCUAUGCUUCUGCCUGGUGCAUUGGCCUCCUAUUCCCUGACCUUUGCUGCCUUUUCUGGUGAGGACUGUGUAAUUGCAUUUUGCUUAUCAUCCUAGGGCCUGCUGGCUACCUUGGUGUCAUAUUGGCUUUGUAAAACUUAAGCCAGGCUGCCUGCAAGGAUUACACGGAUGGACAGAGCCAGAUCUUGGGAAUGCUUCAAACAGCAGGAUCCCAGGACCCACCUGCCAAAUUGGAGAAGAUAAGAUGGAAAACAAGCAAGGAGCAAGAAUACAAGUGGUAUUUCCCUACUGUUCUCCUGGAUAACAGAAUAAGCCCACAGCACUGAGGCCUGCACAGAUCACACUGAUAACUUCUAUGUCAAACAAUACAAUUCAAGAGGCAGACUUCUGAGACUUCACUGGGGACUUCCAUCUCCUUCCUCUCCCCAAAAGACUCCAUCAAGCUGUGAGAUUUUUUUUUCUAUAAAAGUUAUAUCAAAUUUUCUUCAUAAUAUCACAUGUAUUUAUACACCUGCUAAUCACAUUAUAUAUUAUAUUUUCUACCAAUUUGUUCAAUAUUUCUGCAACCUUUGUUUUAAGGCUUGACCUCUUUAAAUUUCGUGAGUUUCAGUAUAGUCAGUAUGACAUUAGAAAGAUUCAGCAGCAAAACUUGGUCUUUCAUAAAUAUAGUCACUCCAUAUUGAUUAUUUUUUAUUGAUGGUUUUUUAAAGAAAAAUAGAUAAUGCAGGUCAACCACACAGACUAUUAAUCACAAGACUAUGAAUAAAUUAUGAGGCAAGCAUUACAAUUUUCUUGCAAACUGACUAUGACUUUUACCAAUGUAUUAAUGCUACAUAAAGCAAACAAAGAAAGCUGUUUAAAAGAUUUCUGCAUAAGACUGAUACUGCAUUUCUCCCUGUGAUUUCUGAUUAUCAAUCUAAUAGUUCUAUUUCCAGUCCAGCAAUUAAUUUCUUAGUGACUUUGCUGGAAAAGAAAAGGUAAUUCAGCAAAGAUAAAUGUUCAAUAUUUGCAAACACUUUUUUCCUGGGCAUUGGGUAUCUCCAUCUUCAGAAGGAGUAACCCACCUGCAUCACGGAAUGCCAGGCAGCAUUCAGGGUGCUCUUUAGCUGCUGGUGAAGCAGACACAGAGCAAUCACAAAGGUGCUUUCAAACACUCCUCUGAUGCUGGGACGGCUCAUGGCUCCCCCAUGAAGGUACAGGUGUGGUAUCAGGGGAGGUGAGGGGUGGUUUCAGUGCCUGCUCCCCAGCAGUCACAGUGUUUGUGGGUGUUUAUGUCAGCAUUGCAAACAGGACAUUCCCCUUGAGCUGCUUUAAUGGGGACAAACUGCUCUUCCCAGCCCAGCAGCUCCAGAUAUUUAGAGAUGUUUGGUUCCCUGUUGGUACCAACAGCUUCAGGUUCUCUGUGAAUGUCAAACACCUGCUGCAGUCAAGCAGCCUGAGCAAGUAAAGCCUCUUUGGUGUAAAGGGCGACGGCUGAAAUGUAAGUAUGGGGAGGCCUGGCAGGUUGCCUGUAUCACACUCAGCCAGUCCCAUGGUGGCAAGUGCCAUGUGCUUAUGAUGGUGGAGGCAGCCACAGGAGUGCCAGCACCCAGAAACGCUAUCCUGGGCCUUGGAAAGCAAAUCUUAUGGCUACAUGGUAAUCCAGAAAGAGCUGAGUCAGACAAUGGAACUAAUUUCCAAGACAGCCUUAGAGACACUUGGGCCAAAGAACAUGCCAUUAAGUGGUUGUAUCACAUCCCCUGUCGUGCACCAGUCUCUGGAAAGAUCCAGUAAUGUAAUGGACUGUUAAGGACUAUGCUGACAGCAAUGGGUGGUGGGAUGUCAAAACAUUGGGGUACACGUUCAGCAAAAGCCACUUUGUUAGUGAGCACUAGAGGGCCAAUUGGGAUGGCCCUGCCCAAUCAAAACUUUUACAUACUGUAGAAGUGGAUAAAGUUGCUGUAGUACACGUUAAAAACACACUGGGGAAAACCUGGAUUAUUCCUGCCUCAUGCAAAGGCAAACCCAUCCAUGGGACUGCUUUUGCUAAAAAACCUGGAUGCACUUGGUGGGUGAUAUGGCAGGAUUUAAAAGUCUAGUGUGCCUCAAAGGGAUUUGACUUUGGGUGAAAAUAAACAAUUAAUUACGCUGUGUUAUAACUACCCAAUGGUAAUAUUAGCACUUCCAUGGUGGCUACAUGUGCAUCACCUCAAUGAGCAUGUCAUGGCAUCAAUCUUAGCCACGAGCAUUCUGGGAAUCUGAGGCUGGCAUCCCUCUGAUGGCCACAUUCACACCAAUGAAGAAUGAACUUGGAUGAAAAAGAACCAGUACAGCAGUGCUGGAAUGAGAACUGACUCAAAUAUGCACCGUGCAACAAUCCAACACCUCACACCAUCUUUCCUGCUUGAAGGACUGUUAUCAAAGAUGGAGGCCAAAGUCAUGGAGUAAAAGAAUUCAACAAACUUUUUUUUGUGUGUGUCUGUGGAUGUUUUAUGAACAUUUAACAGAGGCAUUCCAUAGACUAAGAGAAUAAUAUUUGUAUGUAUAUCUAUCAGAACAGAUGAAUAGGGAAGGUGAUGGGAUAUUGGGCAGUGUGAAACUUGGCAUGAUAUAAAGGUAUGGAAUAAGGGGUGGAUAUUGUCCUGGUUUCAGUUAAGGUAGAGUUAAUUUCUUCUCAGUAGCUAUUACAGUGCUGUGCUUUGGAUUUGUGAUGAGAAUGGUGUUGAUAACACACCGAUGUUUUGGUUUUUUCUAAGUCAUUUAUCCCUGGUCAAGGGCUUUUUUUUCCUUGUGCCUUGCUCUGCCAGUGAGAAGAUAAGCAAAAGAAACUGGGAGGGAGCAUAGCUGGGACAGGUGAUCCAAACUGACCAAGGGAUAUUCCACACCACAGAAUGUCAUGCUCAGUAUAUAAACUGGGGGAGUCACCUGGGAGGACAGCUGAUCUGGGUUUAGGAAGGGGGGUCUGGCAUUGGUCAGCAGAUGGUGAGCAAUUACAUUGUGCAUCACUUUGGAUUUUUCCAUUAUUGUUAUUAUUGGUAUUA